GAUGAACGCUGGCGGCGUGCCUAAUACAUGCAGGUUGAGCGAACGGACGAGAAGCUUGCUUCUCUGAUGUUAGCGGCGGACGGGUGAGUAACACGUGGAUAACCUACCUAUAAGACUGGGAUAACUUCGGGAAACCGGAGCUAAUACCGGAUAAUAUUUUGAACCGCAUGGUUCAAAAGUGAAAGACGGUCUUGCUGUCACUUAUAGAUGGAUCCGCGCUGCAUUAGCUAGUUGGUAAGGUAACGGCUUACCAAGGCAACGAUGCAUAGCCGACCUGAGAGGGUGAUCGGCCACACUGGAACUGAGACACGGUCCAGACUCCUACGGGAGGCAGCAGUAGGGAAUCUUCCGCAAUGGGCGAAAGCCUGACGGAGCAACGCCGCGUGAGUGAUGAAGGUCUUCGGAUCGUAAAACUCUGUUAUUAGGGAAGAACAUAUGUGUAAGUAACUGUGCACAUCUUGACGGUACCUAAUCAGAAAGCCACGGCUAACUACGUG
rnacentral:rRNA from 1 species